rnacentral:rRNA from 1 species
UACAGAGGUCUCAAGCGUUGUUCGGAUUCAUUGGGCGUAAAGGGUGCGUAGGUGGCGCCGUAAGUCAGGUGUGAAAUUUCGGAGCUUAACUCCGAAACUGCAUUUGAUACUGCGGUGCUUGAGGACUGGAGAGGAGACUGGAAUUCACGGUGUAGCAGUGAAAUGCGUAGAUAUCGUGAGGAACACCAGUGGCGAAGGCGGUUACCUGGAGCUUUGCUGACGCUGAUGCGCGAAAGCGUGGGGAGCGAACGGG